rnacentral:rRNA from 1 species
UAGGGAACUGAAAGGACCGACCUUCGGGAGCCUAUACAGGUGUUGCAUGGCUGUCGUCAGCUCGUGUCGUGAGAUGUUCGGUUAAGUCCGCUAACGAGCGCAACCCUCGUCGUAUGUUAUAUGUGUCAUACGAGACUGCCGGUAAAAAGCCGGAGGAAGGUGAGGAUGAUGUCAAGUCAGCAUGACCUUUAUAUCCAGGGCUACACACACGCUACAAUGGUCUGUACAAUGGGUAGCCAAGCCGCGAGGCGGAGCCAAUCCUGAAAGCAGGCCUCAGUUCAGAUUGCAGUCUGCAACUCGACUGCAUGAAGCCGGAGUUGCUAGUAACCGCAGGUCAGCAAUACUGCGGUGAAUACGUUCCCGGGUCUU